rnacentral:sRNA from 1 species
GGCUAGUCCGAAGUACCAGUGGGUGAUUACAAUUAUGGAUGCAACCUUACAGACUUCUUUUCCUUCUUCGACUCCCACUGCUUCCACUUGAUAGCCUAAA